CUUCCCUCACAGCAUUACCAUAUCAGGGGAGAAAACUGUACAGUGGGAAGAUGAGAGUUAAACAUACAGAAAUUACAAAGAGGGAUCUCCAAGAUGGAAAUGGAGCAAACAUUUGAACAAGGAAAAAGCUGUUGCUAGCUAGACAGCAUUUAUUGCCCAUCCCUAAUUGCCCAGAGGGCAAUUAAGUAUCAACCACAUUGCUGUUGGUCUGGAGUCACAUGAAGGCCAGACCAGGAUGAGGACAUCGCUGGCCAGGCAGCAUUUAUUGCCCAUUCCUAAUUGCCCAGAUGGCAGAUAAGAAUCAACCACAUUGCUGCGGACCAGGAGUCAAC